rnacentral:tRNA from 1 species
CCGUGCGGCGGCGCGGUUCGAGGAAGCCGCGCGCCUCGCCGCGGCGCGAGGCGGUGGCGCGCGGGUCGCCCGCAUCGA